GGCUCAGAACGUACGCUGGCGGCACGCCUAACACAUGCAAGUCGAACGAAGUAGCAAUACUUAGUGGCAGACGGGUGAGUAACAUGUAGGUAUCUGCCCUUUGGCCUGGAAUAACACGAGGAAACUUGUGCUAAUACCGGAUAAGUCUUUACGGAGAAAGCUUUAUGCACCAUUGGAUGAGCCUGCACUUGAUUAGUUUGUUGGUGGGGUAAUGGCCUACCAAGACUGUGAUCAAUAGCUGAUUUGAGAGGAUGAUCAGCCACAUUGGGACUGAGACACGGCCCAAACUCCUACGGGAGGCAGCAGUGGGGAAUCUUGCACAAUGGAGGAAACUCUGAUGCAGCGAUGCCGCGUGAGUGAAGAAGGCCCUUGGGUUGUAAAGCUCUUUCGUCGGGGAAGAAAAUGACUGUACCCGAAUAAGAAGGUCCGGCUAACUUCGUGCCAGCAGCCGCGGUAAUACGAAGGGACCUAGCGUAGUUCGGAAUUACUGGGCUUAAAGAGUUCGUAGGUGGUUGAAAAAGUUAGUGGUGAAAUCCCAGAGCUUAACUCUGGAACUGCCAUUAAAACUUUUCAGCUAGAGUAUGAUAGAGGAAAGCAGAAUUUCUAGUGUAGAGGUGAAAUUCGUAGAUAUUAGAAAGAAUACCAAUUGCGAAGGCAGCUUUCUGGAUCAUUACUGACACUGAGGAACGAAAGCAUGGGUAGCGAAGAGGAUUAGAUACCCUCGUAGUCCAUGCCGUAAACGAUGUGUGUUAGACGUUGGAAAUUUAUUUUCAGUGUCGCAGGGAAACCGAUAAACACACCGCCUGGGGAGUACGACCGCAAGGUUAAAACUCAAAUGAAUUGACGGGGACCCGCACAAGUAGUGGAGCAUGUGGUUUAAUUCGAAGAUACGCGCAGAACCUUACCAACACUUGACAUGUUCGUCGCGACUCUAAGAGAUUAGAGUUUUCGGUUCGGCCGGACGAAACACAGGUGCUGCAUGGCUGUCGUCAGCUCGUGUCGUGAGAUGUUGGGUUAAGUCCCGCAACGAGCGCAACCCUCACUUUUAGUUGCCAUCAUUAAGUUGGGCACUCUGAAAGAACUGCCAGUGAUAAGCUGGAGGAAGGUGGGGAUGACGUCAAGUCCUCAUGGCCCUUACGUGUUGGGCUACACACGUGCUACAAUGGUAUCUACAACAGGAAGCAAGACUGCGAAGUUAAGCAAAUCCCUAAAAGAUACCUCAGUUCGGAUUGCACUCUGCAACUCGAGUGCAUGAAGCUGGAAUUACUAGUAAUCGUGGAUCAGCGUGCCACGGUGAAUGCGUUCCCGGGUCUUGUACACACCGCCCGUCACACCAUGGGAGUUGGUUCUACCUUAAGGCAAGGUUUCAAACCCUUGACCACGGU
rnacentral:rRNA from 1 species